rnacentral:rRNA from 1 species
GUCCGCGGGAAUUCGAUUCAGGCCUAACACAUGCAAGUCGAGCGGUAGAGAGAAGCUUGCUUCUCUUGAGAGCGGCGGACGGGUGAGUAAUGCCUAGGAAUCUGCCUGGUAGUGGGGGAUAACGUUCGGAAAAAAACGCUAAUACCGCAUCCGUCCUACGGGAGAAAGCAGGGGACCUUCGGGCCUUGCGCUAUCAGAUGAGCCUAGGUCGGAUUAGCUAGUUGGUGAGGUAAUGGCUCACCAAGGCGACGAUCCGUAACUGGUCUGAGAGGAUGAUCAGUCACACUGGAAUUGAGACACGGUCCAGACUCCUACGGGAGGCAGCAGUGGGGAAUAUUGGACAAUGGGCGAAAGCCUGAUCCAUCCAAGGCGCGUGUGUGAAGAAGGUCUUCGGAUGUAAAUUUUAUGAGGUUGGGAGGAAGGGCAGUUACCUAAUACGUGA